CGGGUGAGUAAUGUAUGGGGAUCUGCCUGAUGGGGGGGGAUAACUACUGGAAACGGUAGCUAAUACCGCAUAACGUCGCAAGACCAAAGAGGGGGACCUUCGGGCCUCUUGCCAUCGGAUGUGCCCAGAUGGGAUUAGCUAGUAGGUGGGGUAACGGCUCACCUAGGCGACGAUCCCUAGCUGGUCUGAGAGGAUGACCAGCCACACUGGAACUGAGACACGGUCCAG
rnacentral:rRNA from 1 species